ACAUGGCAUGAACAUGAGGCCAUUCCAUCUUCCCCACCAGGACGAAGAUGGGAGGUGGAGACCCUGCUGGGUUCCCUGAAAUCAUCCGUCGCCACAGCCGGAGGCACAUCUCCUAAACCAAACCAAAUGUGAACAGAGGUCUCCAACACCCAUCGAAGUAUCGGGUACAGAAAACUCGUGAACUGGAUCACAGCGGCUAUCUGUGUAAUGGAAUUCAUAGCACCAAUAAUAGCAACUGGCCUUUCUGGAAUAUUGAAUAAUCGAUCAACUUACUACAUGCCUGAUUUUUUUAUUGUUCAAAGGAUCUUUAUGAGGAGUAAACAAGAAGAGACAGUUCAUGGUCCUGAACUGGAAGAGGCGGUGCCUGGACCCC